CCUCCGGGUCCGACCUCCAACCCUUUGUGAACACAUCCCGUUGCUUCGGGGGCGACCCUGCCGGGCGCCCCCGGAGGACCACCAAAACAAACACUGCAUCUCUGCGUCGGAGUUUACGAGUAAAUCGAAACAAAACUUUCAACAACGGAUCUCUUGGUUCUGGCAUCGAUGAAGAACGCAGCGAAAUGCGAUAAGUAAUGUGAAUUGCAGAAUUCAGUGAAUCAUCGAAUCUUUGAACGCACAUUGCGCCCCCUGGUAUUCCGGGGGGCAUGCCCGUUCGAGCGUCAUUACACCACUCCAGCCUCGCUGGGUAUUGGGCGUCUUUUCGCGGGGGAUCACUCCCCCGCGCGCCUCAAAGUCUCCGGCUGAGCGGUCUCGUCUCCCAGCGUUGUGGCAUCACGUCUCGCCGCGGAGUCACGAGCCCUUACGGCCGUUAAAUCACACCUCAGGUUGACCUCGGAUCGGGUAGGGAUACCCGCUGAACUUAAGCAUAUCA
rnacentral:rRNA from 1 species